rnacentral:rRNA from 1 species
CGCGUAUCCAACCUGCCCAUCACUUGGGGAUAACCUUGCGAAAGUAAGACUAAUACCCAAUGACGUCUCUAGAAGACAUCUGAAGGAGAUUAAAGAUUUAUCGGUGAUGGAUGGGGAUGCGUCUGAUUAGCUUGUUGGCGGGGUAACGGCCCACCAAGGCUACGAUCAGUAGGGGUUCUGAGAGGAAGGUCCCCCACAUUGGAACUGAGACACGGUCCAAACUCCUACGGGAGGCAGCAU